UGAACUUUCCUUUGUUUGAUGGCCAUAUACGAAUAGAAUUGGGGGCACUUUGGUGAGUAAAGAGUAUGUAAAAAAGAGAAAGAAAAGCUGCAGGGCUGUAGCAACAGGAACCAAAGAAAAUUACAGUCUUAUUAGCAGAUUAAAACAGGGUAUUCUGCUUCUAAUAUGUGAGCAGCAGCUCAGUCAAUGAAUGAAACAACUAUAUGUUUUUCUGGAGCAUAAAGAAAUAUAAACUCGAAUUUCAGUCUUUCAUUCAUGGCAUCCGCUUCAUCAUUUCCAUCAGAAAUUGUGGAAUAUGGCUCUUUGAAUGCAAAUGAAAGUUCCUCCACAAGGGCGAGAUCAGGUGGUUCUUCAAGAUUGUAUGAUGUAUUCGUCAAUCAUAGGGGACCCGAUGUCAAACAUACUUUGGCUCUCCUGCUUUACAAUUCAAUCAAGAAAAUGGGUUUCCGGCCGUUUCUUGACUCUCAAGAGAUUGAAUUGGGAGAUUCAAUUCCCUCUAUUCUUAAAAAUGCCAUAAAUUCUGCAUCAGUUCACAUUGCUAUAUUUUCUCAGGGAUAUGCGCGGUCAGCUUGGUGUUUAGCUGAACUUGCUAUCAUCAUACAAACUGGCGUCAAAAUUAUUCCUGUGUUUUAUGAUGUGUCUCCUUCCGAUCUCAGAUACAUCGAAAAGGGCGUGUAUGCAGCAGCAUUUGCCACAUUCAAAGAGAAAGGCAGAUACCUCGACCAGCUCGAGGAGUGGAAAAGAGUCCUCCACUUCGUUUCAUUGAUCUCUGGCUAUGAAUGCAACACGCAUAACAAUGAUUACGAAAAGCUAUGUGAAAUCAUUAUGUCUGCCGUGCUAAAAGAGUUCAAAAGGAUAUCUCCUUUAGAUGUUGCAAAACAUUCAGUGGGAUUGGAUGAACUGGUGGAAGAUUUUGAAAGCUUUUCUAGGAGGCACAUGGGAAAAAAGGCUUUUCAGGUCACUGGGAUCUUCGGAAAGGGUGGAUCUGGCAAGACUACGCUAGCCAAAGAAUUCUUCAACCGCAAACGUUCAGGGUAUGAUGGAUCCAGUUUUCUGUUUGAUGUGAGAGAAACGGCUAAGAAAGGUGAAUUGCCUUGGUUGCAAACUAAGCUCCUCAAGGAUCUGCUCAUGGAGGAUCGUCCGAAGUUUCAUGGUACAGAUGAAGGAAUAAUUUAUCUCAGGAAUUGUCUGGCAAAGGCCCUCCUUCAGCGUUUCCUUAUUGUUAUAGACGACAUUGAUCACAUAGGCCAGUUAGAUGCUCUACUAGUGACAGAUAUGCUGAAUCCUGAUAGUUUGGUAAUUGUCACCACCCGUGAUGAAAAGAUGCUCUUUAGGGCUUCAAUUCCUCUUAGAUAUAGGAUGAAAGAAAUGAAUGAGAAUCACAGCAGAGAACUCUUCUGUUGGCAUGCAUUCCAACAACCCUAUCCAUCCAGGGGAUUUGAGGAUUUGGUUGAGAGCUUCAGGAUAGGGUGUGCAGGUUUGCCUCUCUCCCUUCAAAUGUUGGGCAGCCAUGUUUAUGGUAAGACGGACCGACGUUAUUGGCAGAUGGAGAUAGAUAAACUUUGUAAAACGGUGCCUGGAGACAUAAACCAAAGCCUUAAAAUUUGCUAUGCUGCACUAGACAGAGAGGAAAAGGAGAUUUUUAUGGACGUUGCAUGUUUCUUUAUUGGAAAACAGAAAAGCAUAGCUAUAAGAAUAUGGGAAGGUUCUGGAUGGAAAACAGAGCAUGCACUUCAGACUUUAAAGGAUAAGAGUCUUGUUUUUGAAGCUGAUGCUGAAAUGAUCUAUUGGGAAGACAAAUGGUUGAUGAUGAACAAGCCUGAUGCAAUUCUGGGAAUGCAUGACCACGUCCGUGAUUUCGGAAGAGAGAUGGCUGAUGGAGAAAGGCAUACUUGUCGCUUCUGGUGUCCCCAAGAUCUUAAAUCUAUGGAAUUAAAAGGAUUCCAAAACAUUCUCAAUGAGACCAAUUACUACAGCUUCAGGUGUUUCCAUUCAUUUUUUGAUUCAUCCGUUGGUGGUCGAAUUACAUUCUUUCUAGGGAACUCAGAUGGAUGUUCUGAGACAUCAACUGUUUUGCUGUCGCUUGAGCUUUACUUACGUGAAGCAAAACUCAUAAGCAUCCCUUCAUGGAUUCCUUUGCGAAAUUUGCAACGCUUAAGAAUUGUCUUUGGAUGUCUCAAAAGAUUGUGGUAUGACAAUGCACAGGCCCCUCUCCAGUUGAAAGAGUUGGUGCUUCAACAAAUCUCAUUGGAGGAGAUUUCCAGCUCAUUAGGAAUGUUAAAUCAGUUGCAAGAUCUAGUCAUAAAAGGGAAAAGUGAACGAGAGAAUCAUAUGCUAACUUCGGGAAGAUCCUUAUCAGAAACCCUCAAAAAACUUACCAAGCUUAGAAGAUUAAUUUUAUGCCAACUCAGAUUAGAUCUCCAACCGUCUUUGAAGUAUGGUGGAGAGUCAUCUAGUUUGGAUUCUUUUGUAGGUAUCCCCCUCCAAAACAUACAGAUUUGGGAUCUGCUACAUGCAUGGAAUAUCUCAAUCAGUGGAGAGCAUUGUCCUGAUCUUGAAUAUGUCCACCUUGAAUCCCUGGAAAAUCUGGCUGCAGUGGAUCUGAAAAAUGUCCACACACUUAAUUCUCUCACAUUAAGGUUUUGUGGUGAUUUGAAAAAAUUAUCAAGAAGUUUUGAUAGGUAUGCAAGGCCUGCAAGAUUGCACAUACAUGAAUGUCAGCAUCUUGGAUUAACUGCUUACAGUAGAAAAAUGAAAUCACUAUCAGGUAGCUCCGAUAUAAAGCGCUUUGGUCAGGAUAGUUUUGAAGAUUUCAGUUGGCUUGACAGCACAAUUAUUAAUGGAUGCUGGAGUUUGCGGAAUGUAAAAGGUAUUGAGUUAGAAGGAUUGAAAUCUUUGUACCUUUCAGGCAGAGGAGGAGGUGUAUCGAAGCUCUCAGUUUCUGGAGAGCAUAGCCCCAACCUUGAAUUUCUUGACCUCGAGUCUAUGGAAAACCUAAUUGAACUGGACCUGACAUGUUUGACAGAAAUAAAAUCUCUUACAUUUAGAUCUUGUGAAAGAUUGAUAACAGUAUCUGGGAGCUUAGAUAUGGCUAGAAAGCUUGUAAUGUUGGAAAUUGAGAAAUGCUCACAACUUACACAGUUUCCAAGUCUUGCAGGUCUGAGUUGCCUGGAGAGCAUUAUUAUUAAUGGAUGUCAGAAUCUGGAGAUUAUAGGUAGUGCUCUAAAGUUAGAAGGAUUGAAAUCCCUGCAUCUUACAGGUGAUAAAGGUCUCUCCAAGCUCUCUAUUUCUGGAGAGCAUUGCCCCAAUCUUGAAUCUAUACACCUUGAAUCUAUGACUAAUCUAUUUGAAAUGGAUUUGAGAUGUGUGAGCACGCUGCAUUCUCUUACAGUCAGAUUUUGUGGUGAACUGAGGAAGAUAUCAAGAAGUUUUGAUAUGAUUGCAAAGCCUGCAACUUUGUGCAUCCAGAAUUGCCAGCAGCUUGGAUUGAUGGCUUAUAGUAGAAAAUUGAAAACACUAUCAGGAAGCUUUGAUAUAAAGAGCUCUGGUCUGUGGAGCUUUAAUAUUGAAGAUCUCAGGUGGCUCGAGACGACUAUCAUUAAUGGAUGCCAGAAUUUCCAGAGCAUAAAAGGUAUUGAGUUAGAAGGAUUGAAAUCUUUGCACCUUUCAGGCAGGGAAGGAGGUGUGUCAAAGCUCUCAAUUUCUGGAGAGCAUAGCCCCAACCUUGAAUCUCUCCACCUUGAGUCUAUGGAAAAUCUAAUUGAAUUGGACCUGACAUGUGUAACAACACUAAAGUCUCUUACAUUCAGAUCUUGUAGAAGAUUGAUAACAAUAUCUGGAAGCUUGGAUAUGGCUAAAAAGCUUGCAAUGCUGAAAAUUGACCAAUGCCCGCAACUUGCACCGUUUCCAAGCCUUCGAGGUUUGAGUUGCCUGGAGAGGAUUGUCAUCAAUGGAUAUCUGCAUCCACAUAUUGUAGAGGAAAUUGUGAAGUUGGAAGGAUUAAAAUCUUUGAGUAUUUCGGGCAUCAGAGAAGGUGUGUCCAAGCUCUCAAUCUCUGGAGAGCAUUGCCCCAAUCUCAAAUCUCUCUCCCUUGAAUACAUGGAAUUUCUGAUUGAACUGGAUUUAAGAUGUGUGAGCACGCUUCAUGCUCUUACAUUAAGGUUUUGUAGUAGGUUGAAGAAAAUAUCAAGAAGUUUCGAUAUAGGUGCUAAGCCUGCAACAUUGUACAUACAAACAUGCCAGCAGCUUGAAUUAAUGACUUAUAGUAGAAAAUUGAAAACACUCUCAGGAAGCUCUGUUAUGAAGAGUUUUGCUCAGGGAAGCUUUAAUGUUGAAGAUCUCAGUUGGCUUGAGACGACUAUGAUUAAUGGAUGCUUUAAUUUACAGAACAUUAAAGGUAUUGAGUUAGAAAGUUUGAAAUGUUUGCAUCUCUCAGGCAGCAAAGGGGGUGUGUCCAAUCUCUCAAUUUCUGGAGAGCAUAGCCCCAACCUUGAAUCUCUCCACCUUGAGUCUAUGGAAAAUCUGAUUGAAUUGGACCUGACAUGUGUAACAGCACUAAAGUCUCUUACAUUUAGAUCUUGUAGAAGAUUGAUAAUAAUAUCCGGAAGCUUUGAUAUGGCUAAAAAGCUCUCAACACUGAAAAUUGAGCAAUGUCCAAAUCUUACACUGUUUCCAAGCCUUGCAGGUCUGACUUGCUUGCAGAGGAUUAUCUUUAAUGGAUAUCUGAAUCUACAGAUUCUAGAUGGUAUUGAAAAGUUAGAAGGAUUAAAAUCUUUGCAUAUUUCAAACAGUGGAGGAGAUGUAUCGAAGCUCUUAAAUUCUGCAAAGCAUUGCCCCAAUCUUGAAUCUGUCCACCUUGAAAAUAUGAAAAAUCUAAUAGAAUUGGACUUGAACUGUGUAACAGAAUUGAAGUCUCUUACAUUCAGAUCUUGUAGAAGCUUGAUAACAAUAGAUGGGAACUUUGAUAUGGCUAAAAAGAUUGGAAUUCUAAAAAUUGAGGACUGUCCACAACUUGUGGCCUUUCCAAAACUUGCAUGUCUGAGUUGCCUGGAAAACAUUAUUAUUAGUGGAUGUAUAAAUCUGCAGAUCAAGAAUGAAAUUGGCAUGCUAAAAGGAUUGAAAUCUUUGCAUCUUUCAGGCAUUGAAAGAGGUGUGUCGAAGGUCUCAAUUUCUGGAAAGCGUUUCCCCAAUCUUGAAUUUCUCCACCUCGAGUCCAUGAAAAAUCUGAUUGAGUUGGAUUUGAUAUGUCUCAACAGACUUCAUUCUCUUACAUUAAGGUUUUGCGGUGAGUUGAAGAAGAUAUCAAGAAGUUUUGAUACGGCUGUAAAGCCCGCGACAUUGGACAUACAGAAAUGCCAGCAGCUUGAAUUAAUGGCUUACAGCAAAAAACUCAAAAUGCUAUCAGGGAGCUUUGAUAUAAAGAGCUGUGAUCUGGGGAGCUCUUAUGUUGAAGAUCUCAGUUUACUUGAGAACACUAUCAUUAACGAAAGCUGGAAUUUGCAGAACAUAGAAGGUGUUGAGUUAGAAGGAUUGAAAUCUUUGCAUCUUUCAGGCCGAGGAGGUGGUGUAUCCAAGCUCUCAAUCUAUGGAGAGAAGUGGCCCAACCUUGAGUUUCUCCACCUUGAAUCUAUGGAAAAUAUGAUUGAACUAGAAUUGAGGCUUUCAAAGUCUCUUAAAUCUCUUACAUUAAGAUCUUGUAAAACGCUGAAAAGAAUAACAGGGAACCUCUGUACGGCCUCAAAUCUUGUAAUAUUGGACAUAAGAGACUGCGCUGAGCUCGAAGAAUGGGGAUGUCUGGCUAGUAUGGGCCGCCUAGAGAGGAUUAUACUUCACUAUUGUUUGAAGCUGCACAAUUUACAAGGCAUUGAAGAGUUGAACAGAUUGAAAUAUUUGAAUAUUUCUGGCAUCAAUAAAGCCUUAUACAAUUGCAUUCCCAGGUUGCAGAGACUUCCAUCAGAGGUUACGGUUAUAAUUGGGGAAGCAUUCAAAGAUGUGAAUGAAACUAGUCACUGGUCAUACUUAAAUUCAGUACUACUUCCUUCUGUUGUUGGUGCGGAUGCAGUGAGUGGAAUCCAUUCCAGUGUGUCUCAACAGGAUUUUAAUGGCCUCAACUCAAUUUUGAUUGAUAAGCUCAGAACGCAACGUGCUCUUAGUGCAAUCAUAGUUUGUGCUCUGAUCGAAACUUCGGAUAGCCUGGAAAAGCUUGGAAUUCUCCUUUCUCCCAAUAAUCUGGUAGAAACCCAAGUGAAAUCUGGACAAUGGAUGGCCACCAUUGUAAUUGCUGGCCAAGAAGAAGUAAAUCAGGCGCAGCAGAAUAUCUACGAGUGGAUUCCGAGAGCUCCGUCAGGUGCAUUAAAGAAUGUGCUCAUGGUAACCAUGAACAAAGGGAAAGAAUGGGAAGCCCGGGUUCUACUUAGAUUAAUCACUGCCAGGAUGUAUAAGAGACUGUCCUAGUGCGCAAGGCAGAUCAGAGAAGACCGGUGUGCCACAGAGUUGUCAGGAUAGGGUUUGCCAGGGAUGGUGGCGACGCCCUCUGAAAAACAGGGGAUGAGUUGUCAAUCUAAGGUCGACGUAUUUCUCGACUGAGCUGUAUUUGGUGAUCGAGUAAAGCUUCACAUUUACUUGGGCAUGGCCCGUAUUCUCUCCUACUCAGCCCACGCUAGGCAAACCUUUAUUUGCAUUGGCUACGAGUUUAUUAUGGGAAGCUUUUUGGGCGUACUCACUUGUCCGUGGGAAGCUUUCUGAGGGUGAUUUUAUUUGGCACUGACUUCACUUUCUUUGGCAUUUAAUUCCUUGCACAUGACACCCAUCUUCAUUUUUCGCGGCAGUUUACUUCUUUUCUUGGGCGUUCAAGGUUUAAACACUGGGCGGAACAGAUUGGUGGGUACGUGUAAAAAGGCCUAUAGAAAGGGUGAUAUUAUUUUGAAGUGCCUUAACCAUUGUGGGGCUUGGCGAAAAUUGUUUUUCUAUGUUAUUGGUUGGCCCAACAAAUUGGUGGUUUGGUUUUCUUGUGUGGAGUGCGUUUUGGAAGUUGAUGUUCUUGUCGCUCCUAUAAGGGGAUAUUUUUCUUUUGUUCAUAACAUGAGCAAACUGAUGCGUUUUUUGACAAAUGA